UACAGAGGUCCCAAGCGUUGUUCGGAUUCACUGGGCGUAAAGGGUGCGUAGGUGGUUAGGUAAGUCCGAUGUGAAAUCUCCAGGCUCAACCUGGAAAUGGCAUUGGAUACUAUCUAGCUUGAGGCUCGGGGAGGGGCGUGGAAUUCCGGGUGGAGCGGUGAAAUGCGUAGAGAUCCGGAGGAACACCGACGGCGAAGCAGCGCCCUAAACGAGUACUGACGCUCAGGCACGAAAGCUGGGGGAGCAAACAGGG
rnacentral:rRNA from 1 species